rnacentral:rRNA from 1 species
GAUGAACGCUAGCGGCAGGCUUAAUACAUGCAAGUCGAGGGAGAAUGGGGCUUCGGCCCCAGGGAACCGGCGCACGGGUGCGUAACGCGUACACAACAUGCCUUAUACUGGAGUAUAGCCUCGGGAAACUGGGAGUAAUCCUCCAUAACAUUAUCGGGUGGCAUCAUCUGGUAAUUAAAGCUCAGGCGGUAUAAGAUUGGUGUGCGUAUGAUUAGCUAGUUGGUAGGGUAACGGCCUACCAAGGCGACGAUCAUUAGCUGGCGUGAGAGCGCGACCAGCCACACUGGAACUGAGACACGGUCCAGACUCCUACGGGAGGCAGCAGUAGGGAAUAUUGGACAAUGGGCGAAAGCCUGAUCCAGCCAUGCCGCGUGAUGGAUGAAGGCCCUCUGGGUUGUAAACAUCUUUUAUCAGGGAAGAAACAUUCCGUUUCUACGGGACUUGACGGUACCUGAUGAAUAAGCACCGGCUAACUCCGUGCCAGCCGCCGCAGUAA